rnacentral:rRNA from 1 species
CCCCGCAAGGGGAGUGGCAGACGGGUGAGUAACGCGUGGGAACGUACCUUUCGCUUCGGAAUAGUCCCGGGAAACUGGGUUUAAUACCGAAUACGCCGUAUUGGGAAAGAUUUAUCGGCGAAAGAUCGGCCCGCGUUAGAUUAGCUAGUUGGCGGUGUAAUGGACCACCAAGGCUACGAUCUAUAGCGGGUCUGAGAGGAUGAUCCCCCACACUGGUACUGAGAUACGGACCAGACUCCUACGGGAGGCAGCAGUAGGGAAUAUUGGUCAAUGGACGAGAGUCUGAACCAGCCAUGCCGCGUGCAGGAAGAAGGCCCUCUGGGUUGUAAACUGCUUUUGAUAGGGGCCAAAAUAUCCAUGCGUGGAGAAUUGAGAGUACCUAUAGAAUAAGCACCGGCUAACUCCGUGCCAGCAGCCGCGGUAAUACGGAGGGUGCAAGCGUUGUCCGGAUUUAUUGGGUUUAAAGGGUGCGUAGGUGGCUAUUUAAGUCAGCGGUGAAAGUCUGCAGCUCAACUGUAGAACUGCCAUUGAUACUGAAUAGCUUGAGUACUGAUGAGGUAGGCGGAAUUGAUAGUGUAGCGGUGAAAUGCAUAGAUAUUAUCAAGAACACCGAUUGCGAAAGCAGCUUACUAARGAGUUACUGACACUGAGGCACGAAAGCGUGGGGAUCAAACAGGAUUAGAUACYCCUGGUAGUCCACGCCAUAAACGAUGAUUACUCGAUGUAUGCGAUAGGCAGUAUGCGUCCAAGCGAAAGCGUUAAGUA